UUAACUCAAAUUUGUAUGGAGUUGGCACAGCGCCCCUAGCGACAAACGUAAGCAAACGUUCCAACUCCAUACAAAGUUGAGUUU
rnacentral:pre_miRNA from 1 species